ACCGUAAGAAUAAGCACCGGCUAACUACGUGCCAGCAGCCGCGGUAAUACGUAGGGUGCGAGCGUUAAUCGGAAUUACUGGGCGUAAAGCGUGCGCAGGCGGUUAUAUAAGACAGAUGUGAAAUCCCCGGGCUCAACCUGGGAACUGCAUUUGUGACUGUAUAGCUAGAGUACGGCAGAGGGGGAUGGAAUUCCGCGUGUAGCAGUGAAAUGCGUAGAUAUGCGGAGGAACACCGAUGGCGAAGGCAAUCCCCUGGGCCUGUACUGACGCUCAUGCACGAAAGCGUGGGGAGCAAACAGGAUUAGAUACCCUGGUAGUCCACGCCCUAAACGAUGUCAACUGGUUGUUGGGUCUUCACUGACUCAGUAACGAAGCUAACGCGUGAAGUUGACCGCCUGGGGAGUACGGGCCGCAAGGUUGAAACUCAA
rnacentral:rRNA from 1 species